rnacentral:rRNA from 1 species
UACGUAGGUGGCAAGCGUUGUCCGGAUUUACUGGGCGUAAAGAGCGCGCAGGCGGUCGUUCAAGUCGCGUGUGAAAGCCCCCGGCUCAACUGGGGAGGGUCACGCGAUACUGAUCGACUCGAAGGCAGGAGAGGGUAGUGGAAUUCCCGGUGUAGUGGUGAAAUGCGUAGAUAUCGGGAGGAACACCAGUGGCGAAGGCGGCUCACUGGCCCGGUACUGACGCUGAGAUACGAAAGCGUGGGGAGCAAACAGG